GGGUGUGUAGCUCAGUUGGUUAGAGCAUCGGAUUUUUAAUCCGGUGGUGGUGGGUUCGAGUCCCUCCAUACCUA
rnacentral:tRNA from 1 species